rnacentral:rRNA from 1 species
GACGAACGCUGGCGGCGUGCCUAAUACAUGCAAGUAGAACGAGUUUCGAACGGGUGAGUAACGCGUGGUAACCUGCCUCAUAGCGGGGGAUAACUAUUGGAAACGAUAGCUAAUACCGCAUACUGUGAGAUGGACCUGCGUUGUAUUAGCUAGUAGGUGGGGUAAUGGCUCACCUCGGCGACGAUCCCUAGCUGGUCUGAGAGGAUGACCAGCCACACUGGAACUGGGACACGGGCCAGACUCCUACGGGAGGCAGCAGUGGGGAAUAUUGCACAAGGGGAGCAAGCCUGAUGCAGCCAUGCGGCGUGUAUGAAGAAGGCCUUCGGGUUGUAAAGUACUUUCAGCGAGGAGGCGUUACUCGCAGAAGAAGCACCGGCUAACUCCGUGCCAGCCGCCGCGGUAAUAC